rnacentral:rRNA from 1 species
GACGAACGCUGGCGGCGUGCUUAACACAUGCAAGUCGAACGGAAAGGCCCUGCUUUUGUGGGGUGCUCGAGUGGCGAACGGGUGAGUAACACGUGAGUAACCUGCCCUUUACUUUGGGAUAACUUCAGGAAACUGGGGCUAAUACCGGAUAGGAUCUCCUGCUGCAUGGUGGGGGUUGGAAAGUUUCGGCGGUUGGGGAUGGACUCGCGGCUUAUCAGCUUGUUGGUGGGGUAGUGGCUUACCAAGGCUUUGACGGGUAGCCGGCAUGAGAGGGUGACCGGACACAUUGGGACUGAGAUACGGCCCAGACUCCUACGGGAGGCAGCAGUGGGGAAUAUUGCACAAUGGGCGGAAGCGUGAUGCAGCAACGCCGCGUGCGGGAUGACGGCCUUCGGGUUGUAAACAGCUUUCGACUGUGACGAAGCGUGAGUGACGGUAAUGGGUAAAGAAGCACCGGCUAACUACGUG